rnacentral:rRNA from 1 species
YAAAAACAUGUCCUUUAGAAAUGUAAUUMMAGGYGCUGACCUGYUCCAGUGAAGAMUUUUAACGGCCGCGGUAUACUGACCGUGCAAAGGUAGCAUAAUCAUUAGUCUUUUAAUAGAGGGCUGGAAUGAAGGGUUUAACGAGGAAUUGGCUGUCUCAUUUUAUUUGUUUUAGAAAUUAAUUUUUUAGUUAAAAAGCUUAAAUAGUAUUGGAAGACGAGAAGACCCUAUAGAGCUUUACAUAAAUUAGCUUAUUUAUUUUUAUAUUAUUAUACUUAAAUUGGUUUAUGUUUUGUUGGGGUGACAAAAACAUAUAAUUAACUUUUUUAUUUAUUUACCAUUGAUUUAUGAUUAUUAGAUCCAGGAUUAUUGAUUGAUAGACUAAGUUACCUUAGGGAUAACAGCGUAAUCCUCCUCCAGAGUUCAUAUUUACAGGAUGGGCUUGCRACCUCGAUGUUGGAUUAAGAAAAUAAUUAGGUGUAGCCGCUYAAUUUAUAGGUC